CGAAGGGGCUAGCGUUGUUCGGAAUUACUGGGCGUAAAGCGCACGUAGGCGGAUUGAUCAGUCAGGGGUGAAAUCCCAGAGCUCAACUCUGGAACUGCCUUUGAUACUGUCAAUCUAGAGUCCAGAAGAGGUGAGUGGAAUUCCGAGUGUAGAGGUGAAAUUCGUAGAUAUUCGGAGGAACACCAGUGGCGAAGGCGGCUCACUGGUCUGGUACUGACGCUGAGGUGCGAAAGCGUGGGAGCAAACAGGAUU
rnacentral:rRNA from 1 species